rnacentral:lncRNA from 1 species
AAGAAGAUUAAGUCUCCCUAAUCAAUGCCAACUUAUCAACCUUCAACUCAUUGAUCAAAAAGAAAAAGGAAGAAGAAGAAGAAAGAGGUGAAUAAUGGAAAAGGAAAAAGGAAGGAAUAAAGUGCAUAAGGUAAAAUAAAAUGUACCAAUCCAUGUGUGUUGACCAAAUGACAUUGAAAGUCAAAGUCAAACAAUGAGAAAUCAGAAAUGAGAUGAAGAUUGGAAGUCAAACAAUAAGCAAAAUAUUUUUG